rnacentral:rRNA from 1 species
UACGGAGGGGGCUAGCGUUGUUCGGAAUUACUGGGCGUAAAGCGCACGUAGGCGGCUUUGUAAGUUAGAGGUGAAAGCCCGGGGCUCAACUCCGGAAUUGCCUUUAAGACUGCAUCGCUAGAACGUCGGAGAGGUAAGUGGAAUUCCGAGUGUAGAGGUGAAAUUCGUAGAUAUUCGGAAGAACACCAGUGGCGAAGGCGACUUACUGGACGACCGUUGACGCUGAGGUGCGAAAGCGUGGGGAGCAAACGGG